CUGUUGGAUCUCGGGAGAGGGACAUCCCGGCCCCCAGAGGCCCAGACAGGGCGCGACUGCGUGGGCACGAGACAGCAUCCAUCUUCCAAAGCUCGCGCGUUCGUGGCUUCCGACGGAGUGGGGGAGCGAGAGCGCGAGGCGGUGGCCGCGGAGGGGAAGGAGGGCCGAGCACCAUGGAUCAGCGCCAGGUGGUGGUCAGCGAGAAUUAUGCCAACCCCAUUACAUGCUUCUUCCAUGUGCUUUUCAAGGCGGCGGCGCUAGCCUUCUACAUCCUGUUCUCGCUCUUUGUGAAGAGCUUCGUCAUCAUCUUUGUGAUCACCGUGCUCCUUGCGGCGCUUGACUUCUGGGUGGUGAAGAAUGUGAGCGGCAGGAUUUUGGUCGGGCUGCGGUGGUGGAAUGAGAUUGAUGAUGAGGGAAACAGCGUGUGGAAGUUUGAGUGCCUCGAUGGGGAGUCUCUCGCUCGGAUGAACAAGAAGGAUUCAUGGCUGUUCUGGUGGACUCUUUACUUGACUGCUGCUGCAUGGAUUGUUCUCGGUAUAUUUUCACUCAUAAGACUUGAGGCUGAUUACCUUCUCGUUGUCGGAGUUUGCUUGAGUCUAAGCAUUGCAAACAUUGUUGGCUUCACCAAGUGCAACAAAGAUGCCAAGAAGAACAUCCAGGCUUUCGCUCAAAAUGCUCUCGCUUCCCGCGUCACAUCAUCGCUGCAAUCAGCAUUUGGUGUCAUCUGAAAUCCCACUUGAAGGUGAUGAUGUUUCACACAGCAGUGUACUGAAGAUAGUGAUGAGAGGCCAAACAUGCUUCAUUGCUUUCAAUUUCUUUUCAAAUUAGAAGGGAAUAACAACGCACAACAUAUUUCCUUCGGGAGCUUGUAACUAUUAUAAAUAGUCUAUGCACGUACAUCAAGGAGUCCAUCGACGUCUAGAGACAGUCUGAAGCAGCAUCUCCAACCACAAUGGCCUUCAUCUCCAGUUCUUCGCCAUCACUACAUGGCUCACUCUAGGCAUGGAGGCGCAUCGAGAGUCUGAUGUUUUCUUGGAACCGUCAUGGAUCAAGCUUGCCAGCUUCACUCUGGGCUUGGAGUAUUCACCACUCAUCGCGAGCUUGGCCGCAAGCCCGCUGCCGAAAUGUGUGAAAUGCACGCCAUCCCAGCUGAUCACCUUCGCCUUCGGCGGACAUAGGUCGCGGCAGCCGGGCUUCCCCGCCUUGAAGCUGUACGGAGGCCUCAGGCCUGCCGUUGCCGCAGCACACCAAUACACCAUGAACGGCCACUCAAUCCCUGAAGAACAACUAAAACAUAAGCCAACUCUGACGCAAUGUCGAGAACUGAAACGGCUUUUCUGAAUGCCUGAGUCAGCAGAAUUUCUGUAUCUCCAGUGGGCGGAGACGUUGGCCUGCGUGCUCUGAAGUCUGAAGGCUGGAGCCACCUGAAGGACAUAUGGACAAGCCAUGUAGGUCAUGCAUGAUGCAUCUUUCUACUC